rnacentral:sRNA from 1 species
GGAUGUAAGAAUGGUGGUUCGAGUUGGGUGCCUUGUCCUCCCUCACUGGUCCAUGUGUGUCUCCCAGAAUAAUUGCUUUGUCCAAGAGUAUGUUCUCUGAGAGCUAGAGGAGGACGGAUCUUGGUCAAGGAUAUAGUAUAGUGACUGCACUCCCCGGCCAGCCUCUCAACGUGUUUCAGGAGUGUUAAAGAAGGGAACGAUGGCAAAGAAGAAAUGGUUGUCUUUUCUGACACAGACCUGCAGCACCGUUCUCU